AACGAACGCUGGCGGCAUGCCUAACACAUGCAAGUCGAACGAGACCUUCGGGUCUAGUGGCGCACGGGUGCGUAACGCGUGGGAAUCUGCCCUGGGGUACGGAAUAACUCAGAGAAAUUUGAGCUAAUACCGUAUGAUGACGUAAGUCCAAAGAUUUAUCGCCCCGGGAUGAGCCCGCGUCGGAUUAGCUAGUUGGUGAGGUAAAGGCUCACCAAGGCGACGAUCCGUAGCUGGUCUGAGAGGAUGAUCAGCCACACUGGGACUGAGACACGGCCCAUACUCCUACGGGAGGCAGCAGUGGGGAAUAUUGGACAAUGGGCGAAAGCCUGAUCCAGCAAUGCCGCGUGAGUGAUGAAGGCCCUAGGGUUGUAAGGCUCUUUUACCCGGGAUGAUAAUGACAGUACCGGGAGAAUAAGCCCCGGCUAACUCCGUGCCAGCCGCCGCGGUAACAC
rnacentral:rRNA from 1 species